rnacentral:rRNA from 1 species
UACGAAGGGGGCUAGCGUUGUUCGGAAUCACUGGGCGUAAAGCUCACGUAGGCGGACUUUUAAGUCAGGGGUGAAAGCCUGAGGCUCAACCUCAGAACUGCCCUUGAUACUGGGAGUCUUGAGUAUGGUAGAGGUUGGUGGAACAGCAAGUGUAGAGGUGAAAUUCGUAGAUAUUUGCUAGAACACCAGUGGCGAAGGCGGCCAACUGGACCAUAACUGACGCUGAGGUGCGAAAGCGUGGGGAGCAAACAGG